rnacentral:rRNA from 1 species
GAUGAACGCUGGCGGCAGGCCUAACACAUGCAAGUCGAACGAGUGGCGGACGGGUGAGUAAUGUCUGGGAAACUGCCUGAUGGAGGGGGAUAACUACUGGAAACGGUAGCUAAUACCGCAUACCAUCGGAUGUGCCCAGAUGGGAUUAGCUAGUAGGUGGGGUAACGGCUCACCUAGGCGACGAUCCCUCGCUGGUGUGAGAGGAUGACCGGCCACCCUGGACCUGAGACACGGUCCAGACUCCUACGGGAGGCAGCAGUGGGGAAUAUUGCACAAUGUGCGCAAGCCUGAUGCAGCCAUGCCGCGUGUAGGAAGAAGGCCUUCGGGUUGUAAAGUACGUUCAGCGGGGAGGCGUUACCCGCAGAAGAAGCACCGGCUAACUCCGUGCCAGCAGCCGCGGUAAUUC